rfam:TPA: Bos taurus chromosome 11, whole genome shotgun sequence.
UCCCUGGUGGUCCAGUGGCUAAAACUCCAUGCUCCCAAUACAGGGGGCCCAGGUUCAAUUCCUGGUCAGGGAA